AUGCCUGGCACCCACUCAGAGGACGCGGAGAGCUCCGACCGGGGCGGCCGGCAACGGCGCAUCUGGAUCUGGAUCGGAGCCAGCGGACGGCAGCGGGCGCGAGGCGCGCGACGGUGCUACGGGGCAGGAUGCGAGGGGGGCGACGACAGAUGGCUUGAAUGGUGGAGGUGGCAGCGGCGGCGUAUGCGCGAGCGUCGCGAGAGCGGGUGCCAUGGUCACUCACUGACGGAGAACCACGAAACUUUCAGCCUGAGCACCGAUCCCCUUUUCUCUACCUCCGGCGCCCAAGUUCGCUGCCGCCUCCGCCGUCUUCUCGCGCCGCCGGCCACCUACUCGAGCUCCUCUCCCGAUCCUCCGGCGGUCUGCCUGCAAGUUUGCAACACUUCCCAAGGAAUCACUGUAUUUUUGGUGGAUCAACCUCAUCAAGUUUGCCUCAUGGCAGCCAUACUGGGUUCUCUUGUUGGAUCAUGUGCCAAAAAAUUGCAAGAAGUUAUUACAGAAGAGGCUGUUCUGAUUCUAGGGGUAAAAGAAGACCUCAGAGAACUGCAGCGGAUAAUGAUCCAAAUACGAUGCUUCCUUAAUGAUGCUGAGGCAAGGAGGACAGAAGAGACAUCAGUUAACAAUUGGCUUGGGGAGCUAAGAGAUGCUAUGUAUUAUGCUGAUGAUAUUAUUGACCUGGCAAGAUCUGAAGGAGAAGUUCGGACUCUGAAGCAUAUGGGAACUAGUCACCUUGUGGAGCCUAAUCUUGUGGGAAAGCACACUUUACGUGUCAUCAGGGAUUUGCACAACUGGGAGGAUUGGUCCUUUAUUGAAGAUGCAGCAGGAGCAGCAGCCAUAGAAGAGUGUGGGGAUAUAUAUGCCGAGAUGCGAAAAGGGGAAGCCCUGUCUCCAAGGUUGCAUCUGCUGCCCCGGUUGAAGAAGAUGGAACUUGGGGGCUGCCACAAGCUGAGGGCUCUCCCACGACAGCUUGGACGACAACAUGCCACCAGCUUGAAAGAGCUCCAUUUAAGAGGAGCAAGUUGCUUGAAGGUGGAGGAGGACCUCCAGUUCCUCUCUGAGAAACUUCUGAUUAGCAGCACCGCGAGCUUCACGGCGAAGACAUGGAUGUCUGCACGUGGUGUAAAGGCUGAGACAAACCCAGUGAGAUGGCAACAGAGACACGUCAAUCCAGGUCAAUGUAGAGAACGUUCUUCAACUUCUAUACUGAUAUUGAUCGACAGCGUUUCUAUGCAGUUGCUCCAUCACUUGCUUACUGCUUUCCUCCUUAAAGCAAGCCACUCGCUGCUGCUAUUUUGCACCUCACAGUAG
rnacentral:rRNA from 1 species